rnacentral:rRNA from 1 species
CCCUUAGAUGUCCUGGGCCGCACGCGCGCUACACUGAGUGUCUGAGAUACGAGUCUGCCUGGUCCGGCAAAGUCUAGGUAAUCGCUAAAAGACACAUCAUGCUUGGGAUAGAUUAUUGCAAAUAUUAAUCUUGAACGAGGAAUUCCUAGUAAGCGCAAGUCAACAGCUUGCGUUGAUUACGUCCCUGCCCUUUGUACACACCGCCCGUCGCUACUACUGAUUGGAUGUUUAAGCGAGGUUCUCGAACUGCUAGCGACUUAGCUUCGGUGAGGUCGCAGUGUGGGAAGUGAACCUAGCUUUGGUGUCUAGAGGAAGUAAAAGUCGUAACA